rnacentral:hammerhead_ribozyme from 1 species
AUACAGCUGACUAGUCCUAAAUAGGACGAAACGUGCAUCCUGGAU